AGGAACUCAUCAUGUGAUAUUUUAAAGAUUUUCAAAGAUAAAAUUCUCCAGAUUUCUAGCAUCUCUAGGAACACAUAAACAGCAACUCAACCUUCCCAUAUCAUAUCCGUUAACAACUUAGACUUCAGAUCAAGUUCUCUUCCCACAAGUUCAGGUUUAGAGCAAGCUUUAAAUUAUAAUAAUUAUGUCUAAACUUGAGAGAGAACUCAAAUUUGAAAAUUAGGCAGAGCAACUAUUCAUCAU
rnacentral:lncRNA from 1 species